UACGUAGGGUGCAAGCGUUAAUCGGAAUUACUGGGCGUAAAGCGUGCGCAGGCGGUUUCGCAAGUCAGAUGUGAAAUCCCCGGGCUCAACCUGGGAACUGCAUUUGAAACUACGAGGCUAGAGUGUGUCAGAGGGGGGUAGAAUUCCACGUGUAGCAGUGAAAUGCGUAGAGAUGUGGAGGAAUACCGAUGGCGAAGGCAGCCCCCUGGGAUAACACUGACGCUCAGGCACGAAAGCGUGGGGAGCAAACAGG
rnacentral:rRNA from 1 species